UACGGAGGAUCCAAGCGUUAUCCGGAAUCAUUGGGUUUAAAGGGUCCGUAGGCGGUUUUAUAAGUCAGUGGUGAGAUCUGGUCGCUCAACGAUCAAACGGCCAUUGAUACUGUAGAACUUGAAUUAUUGGGAAGUAACUAGAAUAUGUAGUGUAGCGGUGAAAUGCUUAGAGAUUACAUGGAAUACCAAUUGCGAAGGCAGGUUACUAUCAAUAUAUUGACGCUGAUGGACGAAAGCGUGGGGAGCGAACAGG
rnacentral:rRNA from 1 species